GGAUUAGAUACCCUGGUAGUCCACGCCGUAAACGAUGUGCACUAGGUGUUGGGCCAUGACGGUUCAGUGCCGGAGUUAACGCGGUAAGUGCACCGCCUGGGGAGUAUGCUCGCAAGGGUGAAACUCAAAGGAAUUGACGGGGGCCCGCACAAGCGGUGGAGCAUGUGGUUUAAUUCGAUGAUACGCGAGGAACCUUACCAGGGCUUGACAUAUGCCGGAGUGUGCAGGAGACUGCGCAGCCCUUCGGGGCCGGUAUACAGGUGCUGCAUGGCUGUCGUCAGCUCGUGCUG
rnacentral:rRNA from 1 species